rnacentral:lncRNA from 1 species
AAAGAUCUGAUAAAAAAAUAAAAAAGAAACUAUGAAAGGGGGAGAAUUAUUUCAUCCUAGAUAAGGUCUCUGGAAAUAUUAGACCGGACUUGCAAAGAGACAAACCACAGAAGUACACAGGGGGGAAAUAACAUGAAAGAGUUGGUAAAAGAAAUCUAGAAAUAGGUGGCUUGGACCGUCAAGCCAUUUUGUAGGCAGUGAAACUAAGAGUAGCCUUAUUGCUCAGAAACUCAAAUGAAUGUCUAAGACUGAUAUUCUAAUAGUUAAAAAGUGUUGGAUCAUUUUAAUAGUGGCAUGUAUUUUUUUUUUUUAUCAAUUUGUUAUUAGCUGAAAAGUGUGCUCAUAGUUUUUCAAAAAAAAAAGAUUUAAAAACUUUAAUAUGAUUGAUAGUUCUAUUUUUUUCUACUAUUUAUUAUUUUAUUUUUAUUUUUAGUUUGAGAAAUCCAUUGAAAAACCAUGGAUAUAAUGAUGAUCUAGUGCAAACUCUCUUGGUAAAGUUUGUGACUUUGUCUAUUCCAAUGACACAGGUGAAAAACCUUUGAGUAGAUAACGUUCAUUGUAGAUUUCUGGUGGCCUUUGCAUUCACAUGGUUCACGAAUCCAUACAAAAUUGAUAAAACUUGUGAAGUAUUUCAAAUCUUCUUUUCUGUUCGCCAAAAAAAAAGAAUUGAACAAAAUUUACAGCAU